rnacentral:rRNA from 1 species
GAUAAACGCUGGCGGCGCACAUAAGACAUGCAAGUCGAACGGAAGUCGUUAUAAAGAUUUUGAAAUAGACAGAGAACUUGUUCGAAGAAAAUGGAGAAUGAAAUAUAACAAUGGCUUUAGUGGCGGACUGGUGAGUAACGCGUGAGCAACCUGCCUAUCAGAGGGGAAUAACAGUGAGAAAUCAUUGCUAAUACCGCAUAUGCCAUAAACAUCACAUGAUGAAAAUGGGAAAGGAGUAAUCCGCUGAUAGAUGGGCUCACGUCUGAUUAGAUAGUUGGUGGGGUAACGGCCUACCAAGUCGACGAUCAGUAGCCGGACUGAGAGGUUGAACGGCCACAUUGGGACUGAGAUACGGCCCAGACUCCUACGGGAGGCAGCAGUCGGGAAUAUUGCGCAAUGGAGGAAACUCUGACGCAGUGACGCCGCGUAUAGGAAGAAGG